CUCAGCUACUCCAGCACCUGCCAUGAUGAUAAUGGACUGAACUCUGAAACUGUAAACCAGCCCCAAUUAAAUGCUUUCCUUUGUAUGCCGUGGUCAUGAUGUCUCCUCACAGCAAUAGAACUAAGGCAAAAGAAUGAAGAGCAGGGUGCAGCAGGUCACAGUUGUAAUCCCAUCACAUGGGAGAUGGAGGCAGGAGUUCAGAGUUGGGGGCCAACCUGGCCUGCAAGACAACUGAAAUCUCUCUCCGGGUCCUCAGGAUUGCGUGGCAAGCGAUUCUCCCCAAUCAUCUCACCCGCCCACAUGUCUAUGUUUGUUCUCAUGGCUCUGCCCGCCAAAGGCUCUCCCUUCCAACCUGCAAUCCAGGGUUCCAGGUGGUCUGCCAGGGACAUCUCCUCACUGCUCUUUCGGGUCCCAUGCCUUCUUUCAGGAAUUCUGUCUUAUCUUUCCAUGCUGCUGUAUCUCCAUCACCUCUGGAGGAUUAUCUCAUGUGCCUGUUAGAAACCCUGGCACCUGGCUUGGAUACUGGGGUGGUUUGAAUAGGAAUGGCCCCUACAGACUCAUGUGUUUGAAUGCUUGGCCCUUAGGGAGUGGCACUAUUGGGAGGUGUGGCCUUGUUGGAGGAAGCAUGUCAUGGUGGGGGCGGA